GGGCGGUUAGCUCAGCUGGCUAGAGCACCUGCCUUACAAGCAGGAGGUCACUGGUUCGAGCCCAGUACCGCCCA
rnacentral:tRNA from 1 species